UACAUAGAGUGCAAGCGUUAUCCGGAAUCAUUGGGCGUAAAGCGUCUGUAGGUGGUUUAACAAGUCCAAUGUCAAAUACGAUGGCUCAACCAACGGCAGGCAUUGGAGUACUAUUAAACUAGAGUUUGGUAGAGGUAGAGGGAAUCCCUAGCGUAACAGUGAAAUGUGUAGAUUUUAGGGAGAACACCAGCGGCGAAGGCGCUCUACUGGGCCAAUACUGACACUGAGAGACGAAAGCUAAGGGAGCGAAAAGG
rnacentral:rRNA from 1 species